CUUGGAAGUGAUUUAUUUACAAGAAGAGCUCCCACUCGCUGGCCUAAAGAUCAACAGCGGAAAGAAACUGAACACAAAUCGCAGGAUUUAAACUGGAGACAAACAUAUGGAGAAGGUGUGCUCCAUGGCAUGUCUUCACUCUCCAGCAGCAGCUCCUAGGUUUCAAGGAGGACCUCUACUAAACAUUUGCUAAAUGCAUGUUGACUACAGGUCGGGUGCUGAUGGGGGCCCUUAUUUGUAAAGCAGUGAUUAUGAAAGGAUGCCCUCGUCAGCAACACUUGGGAACUUGUCGGCAAUGAAAAUGCUGGGGGUGGGGACCAGCAGUGUUUGAACAAGUCCUCUUGUGAUCCUGAUGUCAAAAGUUUGAGAACCACUGAAUUAGAGAGGAAGGCAAAGAAGAGGGUCGAGCCACUUACUACAUUACAGUCUGGUCAGGAGGGUGACGCUGGCUUGAAUUGAGAUUGGCAUCAUGUGAAUUGGUUGGAGGAGUGCAGUGAUGCAAGCCUAGCAUAAGUUUACCCAGAAAGGGGGCUUUGUACUCAAACAAACCUGAACUUGACAACUGGUAAAAGUAAGUUCAACUUAAACAAAUGUUUAAGUAAAUUAUUUUUAACACACUGAUUUUAUAUAAAGUUGAACAGUCACCAAUGGAUAGCCCACAGUAUAUGAUUACCAUGUGAUACAGUUGUGUUUGUUUUGGUUUAGGGGAAUGGACUAAAUCAACAAUUUAUUAAAGGCAGUUUUUUUAAA